CAGGGGAUAGUUUAAUUAAAAAUACUAGUUUUGGAGAUUAGUGAUGAGAGUUUCUUUUCCUUGA
rnacentral:tRNA from 1 species